rnacentral:rRNA from 1 species
UACGAAGGGGGCUAGCGUUGCUCGGAAUCACUGGGCGUAAAGGGUGCGUAGGCGGACAUUUAAGUCAGGGGUGAAAUCCCAGAGCUCAACUCUGGAACUGCCUUUGAUACUGGGUGUCUUGAGUGUGAGAGAGGUAUGUGGAACUCCGAGUGUAGAGGUGAAAUUCGUAGAUAUUCGGAAGAACACCAGUGGCGAAGGCGACAUACUGGCUCAUUACUGACGCUGAGGCUCGAAAGCGUGGGGAGCAAACAGG